AUAUCGCCUAGAGAGUAGGCCC
rnacentral:siRNA from 1 species